rnacentral:rRNA from 1 species
GGACUACCGGGGUAUCUAAUCCUGUUUGCUCCCCACGCUUUCGCGUCUCAGCGUCAGUUACCGUCCAGAUGGCCGCCUUCGCCACCGGUGUUCCUCCCCAUAUCUACGAAUUUCACCUCUACUUGGGGAAUUCCGCCAUCCUCUCCGGCACUCAAGCUCAGCAGUUUCGGGUGCACUUCCUCGGUUGAGCCGAGGGCUUUCACGCCCGACUUGCUAAGCCGCCUACACGCGCUUUACGCCCAAUAAUUCCGAACAACGCUUGCACCCUCUGUAUUACCGCGGCUGCUGGCAC